CGGGCGUUCCCCUUCGGGGGACAGGGUGACAGGUGGUGCAUGGUUGUCGUCAGCUCGUGUCGUGAGAUGUUGGGUUAAGUCCCGCAACGAGCGCAACCCUCGCCUCUAGUUGCCAGCAUUCGGUUGGGCACUCUAGAGGGACUGCCGGCGACAAGUCGGAGGAAGUGGGGAUGACGUCAAAUCAUCAUGCCCCUUAUGACCUGGGCUACACACGUGCUACAAUGGGCGGUACAAAGGGCUGCGAACCCGCGAGGGGGAGCGAAUCCCAAAAAGCCGCUCUCAGUUCGGAUUGCAGGCUGCAACUCGCCUGCAUGAAGCCGGAAUCGCUAGUAAUCGCGGAUCAGCAUGCCGCGGUGAAUACGUUCCCGGGCCUU
rnacentral:rRNA from 1 species